GCGGGGGUAGUUCAGUUGGGAGAGCCUCAGACUGAAGUCCAACUUCGGGGAAACAAAAUCUGAAGGUCGUGCGUUCAAUCCGCACUCGCCGCA